rnacentral:rRNA from 1 species
AGUUAGUGGCAGACGGGUGAGUAAUGCAUAGGAAUCUACCUAGUAGUAUAGGAUAGCCACUAGAAGUGGUGGGUAAUACUGUAUAAUCCCUGCGGGGGAAAGAUUUAUCGCUACAUGAUGAGCCUAUGUUAGAUUAGCUAGUUGGUGGGGUAAUGGCCUACCAAGGCAGUGAUCUAUAGCUGGUCUGAGAGGAUGAUUAGCCACACUGGAACUGAGACACGGUCCAGACUCCUACGGGAGGCAGCAGUGGGGAAUAUUGGACAAUGGGCGCAAGCCUGAUCCAGCUAUGCCGCGUGAGUGAGGAAGGCCUUAGGGUUGUAAAACUCUUUCAGUGGGGAAGAUAAUGACGGUACCCACAGAAGAAGUCCCGGCAAACUCCGUGCCAGCAGCCGCGGUAAUACGGAGGGGGCAAGCGUUGUUCGGAAUUAUUGGGCGUAAAGGGCAUGUAGGUGGUUUGGUUAGUUAAAGGUGAAAUGCCAGGGCUUAACCCUGGAGCUGCUUUUAAUACUGC